GUUGCUUUGGGGAGACACAUACUAAAAUUGGAGUCAUGCAGUGAAAAUGAGCAUGGAUCCUGUGCAAGGAUAAUACUGACCAAUCCCUGAUAUUAUCUGUGGUAUU